rnacentral:lncRNA from 1 species
CAACGACGGUCCUUGCAAGAGAAAGAGAGAAAAGAUUUGGAGUGCGGAGCGUGCCUCCUAAGCUUGCGGCUUAGGAAACGGUGGGAGGAGGCGGUGUGCCCAGGUCUUCACGGACAGGAUUCGGAGUUUCCUCCCAACCCUGCGCUUUCCACGGAAGAGAGGCGAGGAGAGUUUGGGUGAGUGUAGAGACCAGAAGAAGGCGUGGAAUCUCCUGGAGCUGGAGCUGAUUGUGACUUGCCUGAUGUCCGUGAUGGGAACUAAAUCCAGGACUUUGUGAAAGUGGUACUAUUUUUAACUACGGAGCCUUUUCUCUAGCCCAUUUGGUGGUGGUGGGGCUAUCAAGCAUUUUGAUUGAUUGUUGCAACCCUCAACACGUGACAUCAUAUAGGGUCCCUGGUGAGCCAUUAAUGGCUCUGUAUCUCUGUUCCUACAGAAGACAGAGAGAUCUUUAAUAGCCUUUGUACCACCUCUUUGCCCUGGACCAAGACCACUGAACCCCAGGCUAGGUGGUCACCUCUGUCUUUCCUCUAGUGGUACUCUCUGCAGGAUUUGCCUCCUGUGCUUUUGGGUCAUCUUGGGAAGUGAUUUUGGUCCAUGAAUCCCAGGAUCUUUGUCUACAAAAUGACCUGAGGUGGAGUGGCUUCAUAAACACUAGGUGACCAUGAGGUGGAGCCUGAUGGACAUGGGAUCACUGUUGUUGCAUCCACUGGCCACACACCUGCAGAGUUGACUAUUCAAUUGAGAACUGACUCCUCCCCCUCCUGCUAGGUAGACCCCUCUAUGAGUAAAUUGAAUGGAGCUUGGGUUGCAACAAAACCCUCAAAUAGCUGUUGUGGGCACAGGCUGGGCUCUUAGGCAAAACAAAGGGACACUUGGCUAUUUUUUCUCUAAACUGAUCUCCUGGGCUCUUCUGCAUGUGUGAUGGGGGUCAGUCUGGCAGAGUGGGGAGCAGGCCAGACAUCAUAUCUCCCCAUCUAGGAGCCCUGGCAGGGCUGAGGCCAUGGAUAACUUUUGCUUGUAUCCUCAGAACUCAACACAGGGCAUGGCACAGAACAGACACUCAUUAAUCAUGUUUAAGUUAACAAAUAAACAUAACCCUGGG